rnacentral:rRNA from 1 species
CUACGUGCCAGCAGCCGCGGUAAUACGGAGGGUGCGAGCGUUAAUCGGAAUAACUGGGCGUAAAGGGCACGCAGGCGGUGACUUAAGUGAGGUGUGAAAGCCCCGGGCUUAACCUGGGAAUUGCAUUUCAUACUGGGUCGCUAGAGUACUUUAGGGAGGGGUAGAAUUCCACGUGUAGCGGUGAAAUGCGUAGAGAUGUGGAGGAAUACCGAAGGCGAAGGCAGCCCCUUGGGAAUGUACUGACGCUCAUGUGCGAAAGCGUGGGGAGCAAACAGGAUUAGAUACCCUGGUAGUCCACGCUGUAAACGAUGUCGAUUUGGGGGUUGAACUUUAAGUUUGGCGCCCGUAGCUAACGUGAUAAAUCGACCGCCUGGGGAGUACGGCCGCAAGGUUAAAACUCAAAUGAAUUGACGGGGGCCCGCACAAGCGGUGGAGCAUGUGGUUUAAUUCGAUGCAACGCGAAGAACCUUACCAAGGCUUGACAUGC